CCUGGCAUAGGUGCUGUCAAAUAGUCACUCAACGUUAAAGCAAUAUGCCCAACAAUAAAGGCCUGAGCCAGCGUAGAAACAGCGGACAGGAGGAAAGAUUUUACAUAAUCGAUGGGGGCAAGGAUUACCUCACAGAGGAGAGAGGAAUCUGUGACGGGAUUUGAACUACAGGAAAGGUUUCGAUAUACAUUUGGUCAACCAAGGUAGCUUGCUCCAGUCCUAACGGGAGAGAGGAGGAGAAUUCCUUUCAAAGGCCAGAGAACUCACCCCAGCCAAACAAGACAAGAAAAAUCUAUGAUAAACAUGAGAACAAUCCAACAAUGAACACAAUGUCACAGUUCAACUAAACCCUGGGAUCUUGGAUAUUUUCUUGGAACGUACCACUUCAAUGCAAGCCAGAAUAUGGAAGUUUUUAUUACGAUUGCAUUCAGGAAAAUAAAAUGGCGGUCCUACAAAAUUUUUAAGACUGUUGGCCAAUGUUAGGCUUUAAGUGUAAUAUUUUUUGAAAACGUUAAUUGGAAGCACAAAUUGACUCUUCAAGAGUCACACAGUUCCCAGAACAUUCCUUAAUAAGAACAGCAUGUGGAAGAGAUGCUUCUGAACAGAAAAAUGAAUACAAGUCUAGAAAAUCCCGGCUUUCUGAUUUACCAAGCUAUGUAUUGGGACUCCCUGGAAUCCACUAAGAGAACUCUAUAGAUAUAGUUGUGGUUGCCCCCACAACCCCCAACCCUGCUCUCCCACAGGGCUGGCAAAUCUCUUCAUGAGUCUGAAGACAAUUCCAUCGACCAGGGAGUCUGCCAAAAUGGAGUCACCUUUCCUUGGAUCACUCUCAAAUAAAGGUGAUUGGAUUUUU